ensembl:lncRNA
GAGAAAUCCUACCAAAGCUCUCCUUAUGGAUCACUUAUAGAGUAAGAUAGAGAUUGUUCUAGGUGCGUUAUAGACAGUGCAUUAUAGAGUAUAUGUUUACCGUGUUAUAGAGUGUGUUAUAGAUUAUAUGUUAGAGUUUACCGUGUUAUAGAGUGUGUUAUAGAUUAUAUGUUAGAGUAUGUUAGUGUUAGAGUGUGUUAGAGUAUACAUAUGUUAUAGAGUAUGUUAUAGAGUAUAUGUUAGAGUAUGUUAGUGUUAUAGAGUGUGUUAGAGUAUACAGUAUGUUAUAGAGUAUGUUAUAGAUUAUACUACAUGGG